rnacentral:rRNA from 1 species
CCAGUAAACGGCGGCCGUAACUAUAACGGUCCUAAGGUAGCGAAAUUCCUUGUCAGGUAAGUUCUGACCCGCACGAAAGGCGUAACGAUUUGGGCGCUGUCUCAGCUGUAGACUCGGUGAAGUCUUAGUACCUGUGAAGAUGCAGGUUACCCGCGACUAGACGGAAAGACCCCAUGGAGCUUCACUGCAGGUUGAUAUUGGGAUUUGAUGCAGCAUGUACAGGAUAGGUAGGAGGCAAAGAGAUGGAUACGCCAGUAUUCAAGGAGCCGCUGUUGGGAUACUACCCCUGUUGUAUUGGAUUUCUAACCGGACGACGUAGAGCCGUUGACGGGACAGUGUCAGUCGGGCAGUUUGACUGGGGCGGUCGCCUCCCAAAGAGUAACGGAGGCGCCCAAAGAUACCCUCAGCUUGGAUGGAAACCAAGCGCAGAGUGCAAAGGCAAAAGGGUGUUUGACUGCGAGACCCACAAGUCGAGCAGGGACGAAAGUCGGGCUUAGUGAUCCGGCGGUGCUGAAUGGAAAGGCCGUCGCUCAACGGAUAAAAGCUACCCUGGGGAUAACAGGCUGAUCUCCCCCAAGAGUUCACAUCGACGGGGAGGUUUGGCACCUCGAUGUCGGCUCAUCGCAUCCUGGAGCUGAAGUCGGUUCCAAGGGUUGGGCUGUUCGCCCAUUAAAGCGGUACGCGAGCUGGGUUCAGAACGUCGUGAGACAGUUCGGUCCCUAUCUGUCGUGGGCGCAGGAAAUUUGAGAAGAGCUGUCCUCAGUACGAGAGGACCGGGAUGGACGCAUCAAUGGUGGACCAGUUGUCACGCCAGUGGCAUAGCUGGGUAGCUAAAUGCGGAAGGGAUAAACGCUGAAGGCAUCUAAGUGUGAAACCCACUUCAAGAUGAGAUUUCCCAUUGCGCAAGCAAGUAAGACCCCUUAAAGACGAUAAGGUAGAUAGGUCAGGAGUGUAAGCAUGGUGACAUGUUAAGCGGACUGAUACUAAUAGGUCGAGGGCUUGACCGA